ACCUGUGUCAGUGUUCAGAAGAAGCCACACAAUCAUCUACAGGGCAAUGUCUGGCUACGUCAAGCAAAUCCACAGCCUCGGUUGGCCCUGCUACAAAAACAACAGCCGGUUCAAACCUAAACAGAAAUGUACAGAACGAUUGUAAUGCCUUAACAGUCGGACUCGCAGUAGGAUUCGGGGAAGCUCUUUGUAUCACGGUGAUCGUUGUUGUUGUUGUUCUUAUUUGGUAA